GUGGAAAUGGUGCCAAAUGGGUCAGAUCUAAAAUAAAUCCACAUGUGAAACAUCUGAUAUAGGCACUUAUAUGUUGGGUUUCUCUGCAUGGGGUUCAUAUUGGAUCUGCACACAAGUUUCGUGCCAUGGCUGCAGGCGAGAGAUGUUCCUUCCUCAUGCAUUGAUCAGAUGGUUUUGGUUUAUUUGCAAACCAACUGCAAUGUUCUCUUCCUCUUUUGACAGCAAUACUUUUUCAAAACCUCACUGACAUUUGACAGGCAAAGUCAGUUGUAUCUAACUGACUUCUGGCUGGAUUCAUCUCCCUCAAGACAGAACUAGAAAUACUACUUUUACUUUUUCAUAUUUUUCACAUGUUUUGGAGCUGCAACUCCCGGUCACUUCUGGUCUUGAGAGCCACCCCAGCUCUUCCCUCUGUUUAGACCCACCUCACACCACAUCAACAGACAUGAUCAUCAGACUGGGCAGGCUGACACCUGGAUACUUCCGCCUCCUCCAGAGGCAAGUUGCGGGUGAGGUGCAGACGCAGCCUCAAGACCGUGCGGUCAACCAGAUAGCCAUGAUGCUGGCCAUCAUGGGCCUGAGUUUGUCCUACUACAGUGCCAAACAGAUGACGGAGAAGGUCCAGGUCCAGCCUGGGCCCUGAAGAGAUUCGACUACUCUGAUCAUGGAGAUAAUGGAUGAGCCAAUGAGAUGUGAAGGAGGUGGAGGCAGGGGGCAGAAGCAGAGACACGACGUUGUCUUCCAGGACCACACUUUUCUCACCUCAGUCAUAUUCACACUCAGACACCGAAUCUGCGCAGAGAUUUCAUAGCUUCUGCUGCACGGCUGUGUUCUGUACUUUUUGUUGUCUGGACCUUGAGGGGGUUUUUGGGGAUGGCUCACUUGGGGGUCAUGGAUAGGGCUGGUUUUACAGACCGGUUUGGGUGGGUGAUCAAAAAAAGCUGACUGCCAACUGGGUCUGCCAAUUAGUUGUUACAAAGGUACAUUCUUGCAAGAUGCUGUCAAUACUGUUCUAAGCUAGAAAAACGGGGGGGAGAACCUUCUUUAAAUAACUGUGAAUUUUGCUCCAAGCUUGUCCAAAUGGGGGGUAAAUAGUUUGAGCAGUAAUGCAUUUUAAGGGAUGCCUGACUGCAAUUGAGAUGUACUUUGUAAUGAAGUGAUGGCAGGCCCAGGACAUAGUUCAAGGGGGAUGAAAAGUUAGUUUAACCCUCCUAGGUUUUCUUUAUUUUCUUUUUUCUUUUGUUCCCUCACGAGAGAAACGUGCAGAGCUUUGCAAACAGAUCAGUAGCUGUAUUCACAAACUGUCAGUAUAUUUACCUGUGAAAUAUUUCAGGAGGCAGAGAUUCUGUGAAUAAUUGCACACUAGUGCAGAAAUGAUUUCAGAUGCAAUAGAUCUGCAAAGGGACUACUCACUACCUAUUUUUAAUGGUGUUUUUGUUUUUUCUUUUGUGAGUUCACUGUUUUAACAAAUCUAUGAAGUCCUGUUAAUAAGAUGUGACUACCUUUAUAAGCACCCUGGUUAAGAACCCUUCCUGCAGUAUCUACUACAUGUCAAUGCAAACAUUUAACUUUACUCAACAUUGCAUGGGUGUGCAGACUUUUAAUCAAAUCACAAUUCAUGAGUCUGUCUUGUUUUUAUUGAUAAAUGAAUGUAUUACUUUAUUUUGUAAUGAUUUAAUAAAGCUGUGAAUAUUUUGAAUAAUAUGAACAGUGGAUGUUUUAGUGAUUACAUUUUAAAAUACUGCAAUAUAAUUCCUUUUGAUCAAAAACUUUAUCCACAAAUUGAAACCGUUGCUGAGUUGAGUAUGAGUAGUGUAUUUGGCACUGGAAGCUGCAGAGUAUUUCCUGCCCCAGAAAAUCUGUGGUGUCAUCUGCACACGCCAGGAAGUGGUCGGUCUGAUGCACACGUUACGUGUGGUAGCACUUUAAUUCCCUUUAAUUGUGUGUGUGCCCUCUGCACACACAAGCCCGAAUUUAUAGUGAUUUUUACGAAAACGUGGUAGUGUAAGAUGGUCGUGUUUGAGGAUGAGAGAAGGAAUCCCAUGCAAUAAAGGCAUUCGAUCAUAAAUGUCUUCUGAUGGGCAGUAGGUAUGUGAGGAAUGAACAUUAAGGUCUAAGAACAUGUUCAGCAACUCUUUUAGCUCCAGGUAGACCCUGAAUGUCAAGUUUUCUGUUGACUUCUAUACUGUGUUACUAUGGGGCGUGUGUUCAAAGGGACAACCGAUAGAGUUCUGAUUUUAAGUUCUAAAACUCCAGACAAAUGGGAUGAUGGAAGAGGGCAGGGAUGAGUUCGGUUGGCUAGCUUGUGUAUAUGCCUUAAUGCAAUGUCUCUUUCUGGCGAGGUCUGUCUGAUCAUUAAAUAGCAGCCAUUUUUGUCACUUGAAGACACAUGAAUGCUCCAUGAAUCUACAUGGAGCAUGCUUCAUGUUUUGUAGACUUCUAUUCCCUCAAUAACACUGGGUACAUCAGUAAGUGUGAGACAACGUGACAAAAACUGAUGUCUUGAUGUUUCCACUCUUGAUUCCCAUGUUCCUCCCCUGCUACACAAACAGGUUUGAGGCAGAUUGGUUACUACUUUUCUGCAUGUCCUCCCUUUCUCAAACUGGGCGUGUAGUUUAGAAAGUGCGCAUGCCUGCUCACUGUCUGAUGUGAUGCCCUGUGACAGGCUGAGACCUCGUUGGGCGCCACGUGCCCCGCUGCCCACGCCACAAGCUCCUCCCCCCUCGCAUAUCACUGGGCAAAACACUUACUUUGCCUUCUCAGUGAUGCUAGGCCCAGGACGUAACCCCUAAACGAAGGGCGCCCAUUGGCUAACCGGUGAUGCGUCACCAAAAUCGGCCUGGUUUUCAGCCACAGAGACAAAAGGAUGGGGAUAAGGUCAUUGGUGGGGAAUGUGGGUGAGGAGGAUCAUUAUUUGGGAUGGGAGUGGGGGCUCCAUUCCCUUUUUAUUUUGUGUCAAGAUUACACUCAGAGAGUUGGCCUUAACAGUGAAGUUGUGUAGAUGAGCUGGAUUUGUGGAUGGUGAAGAUGCCUCCAGGAGGUUUUUGUAAAAGAAAAGCUGAUGCAGGAAUUUGGAGCUGCAGGUGUGAACAAGAAACACAAACAGGAAUGAAACUCAUUCUCGGAUGACUGACGCCUUUAAUUUUCACACUCUCUCAGAAGAGCAAUUAUGAGAAAUAUUCUCAGUUUGUAAAUCUAAAUAGCAAUGGGAGAGUUUGUUGCUCCUGAAUGCGCAUCCUGUGUGUUAAGUAUAUAUUUUAUUCUUGAAACGCUGUCUAAUAAUGAAGAAAUAUUGUUUUAGAUAUUUGAAAUGAUUCAGCUAAAAAUUAAGCAUACUCGCACUUUCAACAGACUGUAGAGGUUAUAAAGUUGCUUUUUUUCUGUCAAAAAGUACUGUAUGUAUGUUCCCCUAUUCAUAGGGGAUGAAGUGUUUGAGCCUCACACAUGAACAUAUUUUAUGUUUUGUUGCUGCUUUGUGUUCAAUAAAGACAGAAAUAUAUAUUU